rnacentral:rRNA from 1 species
UGAGAAACGGCUACCACAUCUAAGGAAGGCAGCAGGCGCGCAAAUUACCCAAUCCUAAUACAGGGAGGUAGUGACAAGAAAUAACAAUACAGGACUUUUUGGUUUUGUAAUUGGAAUGAGUUAAGUAUAAACCCCUUUACAAGUAUCAAUUGGAGGGCAAGUCUGGUGCCAGCAGCCGCGGUAAUUCCAGCUCCAAUAGCGUAUAUUAAAGUUGUUGCAGUUAAAAAGCUCGUAGUUGGAUUUCUGUUAAUAAUUUAUAUAAAAUAUUUUGAUGAAUAUUUAUAUAAUAUUAACAUAAUUCAUAUUACUAUAUAUUUUAGUAUAUGAAAUUUUACUUUGAGAAAAUUAGAGUGCUUAAAGCAGGCAUAUGCCUUGAAUACUCCAGCAUGGAAUAAUAUUAAAGAUUUUUAUCUUUCUUAUUGGUUCUAAGAUAAGAAUAAUGAUUAAUAGGGACAGUUGGGGGCAU